CAUUAUCAAGAUUCCUUUGGACUCUUUCUCGGGAAGCGUGUGCUUCUUCCAUGCCUAUGUGAGCCCACAUGAAAGAAACAGUACCUCUCCCUUUGCACCUUCUCCAUCUAUAAAUACAUGAUCAUGGUGGAUGGUGCAAAGCAUUGGAGAUAUAGCAAUCCCAUUUCAAGCAAACACAACUUUCACUUCUCACUUUCAACAACUUUCCAAAUUCACCAUGUCUGACAAGUGCGGCGACUGCGACUGCGCAGACAAGAGCCAGUGCACGUAAGUAAUCGAUUCCCCAUUAAUCCAUGACAAACCUUCAGCGGUAGUUCUGGGGUUGUGUUGUUUGAGACCAUGUUACUGUUGCUAACUUUUUGUGUUCAUGAUCUUAAUGAGUCUCAGCUUUAUAUAACAUGUUACUCUUAGGCUGAACAAAACUUUUCAAAACCAUCUAUUAUAUCUUUUCCUCCCUUGUUUCCUGCAAGACAACUUGCUAAAAUUUUACCAAAUCCGAUUCUUGUUAAAAUUUUAAAUCAUAUUAUUUUCGUGUUUUUUUCUUUGUCAGGUCUAGUGGAAAUUUACACUAAUUGUUAUUUUAAGCUCUUCAUGAGUUUGCAAUCAAGUAUAACCGAAAACUAAAGCUUUUUUUUUUUUUUUUUCUGAUUUUUUUAUGCUUCAGGAAGAAGGGAAACACCUUGGUCGUUGAGACUGAGAAAAGGUACGUAUACUUUUGCUCUUCAAAGGUUCUGACAUCAGCAAAGAAACAAACCAAUAAUAUAUAUAUAUAUAUAUGCUGCUAAGAUCUGAACCAUCCCUGAGGAACUUAAUUCGCAAUAUUCAUAUGCAUAUGCUAAUUGUAAUCUGUUGUGUUGUUUCUGUGCAGCUACGUCAACACUGUCGUGGUCGAGGCUGCGGCAGAGAACGAUGGCAAGUGCAAGUGCGGAGCUAGCUGCAGCUGCACAAACUGCACUUGUGGUGAUCAUUAAGCAAACAUAGAGCAACGAUGUUUUAGCUCAUGGCAAUAUUGGGACCUAAAAAAUAAUGAAAUUUGGGUUGAAUAAUUUGUGUCUUUUUUUGUAUGUGUGUGUUUUUCAUUUCUGUCAGUCACGUCAUGUUCUGUGAUGUAAUGGCCAUGUCUAUGGCCUUGUCUGGUUAAUGAAUUACUAUUAGUAUAAGAAAUUUAUACUUUUUUUAAAGUAUAUGAGCCAAAGAGAAUUAAAUUCUCCAUCAAUCUUCCCAAAAAGAUGCUUAGCAUUUGGAUGGUCAAUAUUUAAGGGUAAUUUAUGCCAAACAUAUGCAUGUUGGAUGCUAGAGAGCUACAUUUUUUAAAGCAAAUAGAAAGUGAAAAAAAAUAUAUGCAUGAUCAUCUUGAUGGAAUUUUUGAGAUAAUAUCAUAAUCCUAAGAAGUUGUAAGCUCCAUUUAUAUAUAUAUAUAUAUAUAUAUAUAUAGUUAUAGUUAUCUUUGUGACUAUUAGUAUUUUACUUUUUUAUUUCAAAAAGAAAAAAAUAAUUAAAAAUGCAUUUACAAAACAAAAAUACAUUGAAAAACUAAAAAUUAGAUUUUAACUUUCAUCAAUAAAAAAGGAAAUUAAAUAUUUCUUUUAUGUAAUGAAUUUAUUUUUAUUUAUUUUUUACAUUAUAAACUUUUUAUAUACAACAUUAGAAUAUAUAAAACUAUGCAAAUUUUAAUAUGUUAUGUCAAUUUACCUUUGAAAAAGGAGAAGGAACACAUUAAGAAUAUGCAAUCAAGUGAAUGAUGUAACUGCCACUCAUAUUUUGUCUAUAAGAUUGAUUAUACCAUACUUAUAAUUAAAUUAUGUCCAAGAUAAAGCUGCUAAAAAUGUCAGUAUUCCACCGACUAUCGUUUGAAUCAAUUGACAUAUUAUUAGACACUUAAAAAUUGUGAAUUUAAAAAAACUUAUGCACGUAAUGUUCUUUUUAAUUAAGUAUUAGAAUGAAAGGUUUAAGAAUAGAUUAAGAAUUUCAAAAAAGAAUUGUUAAUGUUUUAAUCAAUAACCAUCACAAACUAAAGCCCUUCUACCAUUUUUUUUAUAUUGGCUUUGGUUACUAAAGUGUUUCAAAGCAUCAAGAAAUUUCUUACCAAUCUUGAAAAGAAAUUCUCUUAGAAGAAUCAUAAAAUAGAUUUUUUUUCAUUUUUUCACCAAAAAUCAUAACUUAAAAAAAAUUUAAAUAUUAAAUUUUAAAUUUACCAUUAACCACCUUAAAAGAAAAUAUAAUCAAUUAAACUAACACUCAAAGAUCAACUUACCUUUGAAAAAGGAGAAGGAACACAUUAAGAAUAUGUAAUGAUGUGAAUGAUGUAACUGCCACUCACAUUUUGUCCAUAAGAUUGAUUAUACCAUACUUGUAAUUAAAUUAUGUCCAAGAUAAAAGAUGCUAAAAAUGUCAAUGUUGCACCGAUCGUCUUUUAGAUUAGUUGAUAUAUCAUUAAAAUUAACACUUAAAAAUUAUAAAUUUAAAAAAUUUAUACGCAUAUUAUCCUUUUCAACAAAAUAAAUAAUAGAAUAAGAGAUAUUAGAAUAAAUUAAAAUUUUCAAAAAAAAAAAGUCAAUGUUCUAAUCAAUAUCCAUCACAAACUAAAGCCAUUUUACCUUUUUUUUCUUUCUUGGCUUUGGUUACUAAAGUGUUUCAAAGCAUCAAGAAAUUUCCUACCAACAAUCUUGAAAAGAAAUUCUCUUAAGAGAAUCUUAAAAUAAAUCUUUUCAUUUUUUACCAAAAAUCAUAACUCAAAAAAAUAUAUAUAAAUGUUAAAAUUUAAAAUUUAAAUUUACAAUUAAUCAUCUUAAAAGAAAAUAUAAUCAAUUAAACUAACACUCAAAGAUCAAUUUGGUAUGCUCUAAUAAAAGACUAGUGAUUAGAGCACAUGAUACUUUUAUUUUUUUUUAUAAUUAAAAUUAUCAAAAUUUAAAUCUUAAUUACUAAAAUUAAAAAUUCUAACACUCUAUCGUCUUUCCACUUGUUAAGUGAGAGAAAGAUUGAUUGAGAUCUAUAAAUAUAUCUCAAAAAGGAGAAAUGAAAUUGACAUGAGAGGCGGAUAGUAAGCCAAAUCCCUCCUCCAUUAUCAAGAUUCCUUUGGACUCUUUCUCGGGAAGCGUGUGCUUCUCCCAUGCCUAUGCGAGCCCACAUGAAAGAAACAGUACCUCUCCCUUUGCACCUUCUCCAUCUAUAAAUACAUGAUCAUGGUGGAUGGUGCAAAGCAUUGGAGAUAUAGCAAUCCCAUUUCAAGCAAAUACAACUUUCACUUCUCACUUUCAACAACUUUCCAAAUUCACCAUGUCUGACAAGUGCGGCGACUGCGACUGCGCAGACUCGAGCCAGUGCACGUAAGUAAUCGAUUCCCCAUUAAUCCAUGACAAACCUUCAGCGGUAGUUCUAGGGUUGUGUUGUUUGAGACCAUGUUACUGUUGCUAACUUUUUGUGUUCAUGAUCUUAAUGAGUUUCAGGUUUAUAUAACAUGUUACUCUUAGGCUGAACAAAACUUUUCAAAACCAUCUAUUAUAUCUUUUCCUCCCUUGUUGCCUGCAAGACAACUUGUUAAAAUUUUACCAAAUCCGAUUCUUGUUAAAAUUUUAAAUCAUAUUAUUUUCGUGUUUUUUUCUUUAUCAGGUCUAGUGGAAAUUUAUACUAGCUGUUAUUUUAAGCUCUUCAUGAGUUUGCAAUCAAGUAUAAUUGAAACUAAAAGCUUUUUUUUUUUUUUUUUUUCUGGUUUUUUUAUGCCUCAGGAAGAAGGGAAACACCUUGGUCGUUGAGACUGAGAAAAGGUACGUAUACUUGUGCUCUUCAAAGGUUCUGAUAUCAGCAAAGAAACAAACCAAUAAUAUACACACAUAAAUUUCACAUAUGCUGCUAAGAUCUGAUCCAUCCCUGAGUAACUUAAUUUGCAGUAUUCAUAUGCAUAUGCUAAUUGUAAUCUGUUGUGUUGUUUCUGGGCAGCUACAUCAACACUGUCGUGGUCGAGGCUGCGGCAGAGAACGAUGGCAAGUGCAAGUGCGGAGCUAGCUGCAGCUGCACAAACUGCACAUGUGGUGAUCAUUAAGCAAACAUAGAACAAUGAUGUGUUAGUUCAUGGCAAUAUUGGGACCUAAAAAAUAAUGAAAUAUGGGUUGAAUAAUUUGUGUCUUUUGUUGUAUGUGUGUGUUUUUCAUUUCUGUCAGUCAUGUCAUAUUCUGUGAUGUAAUAACCAUGGCUAUGGCCUUGUCUGGUUAAUGAAUUACUAUUAGCAUAACUCUUCUCUAGUUUGAUUCUAAUAAUCCUUCUUUCCAUAUAAUGAUGAGACUCGAAAAUAAACAUAUGACCAAACCCAGAUCUUAGCUCGGUUAAUUCACAUAUGGUCAUCCGAGGUAGAUCCAACAAGUCUGAUUAGUAUUGCUUGGAAAAAUAAGAAAGGGAAAAAUGUUUACUCAAGGAUCCAAGACAUACAGAGUCCUCUCUGUCAAUGGAUUCAUUUAAGUUUUCUGGCAGAUCCAAUUCAUACCAUAGAGCCAAACAACCUCAUAAAAAUGGAAAAAUACCCAAUUUUCAUCAGGAAAAAGAAAAAGCAGUCACAAUUCAUCAGAACAACAAAAACCCAAAUAGAAAAUAACAUGAAUCAAUCAAAUUAACACUUGAUAAUGAUAAAAAUUAUAUCUUUAUUAUUACUGAAACGACAAAAUAAAAUUUAUAUAUCAAAAAUACAUUAAAUAUAUAUUUUAUAUGUAAAAAAAAAAAGGUUACUCUUGUAAAUUUGUAAAUUGUAAGCAUAUCAAAAUCAUAAUUAGAAUUUUCAGAAUAAAAAAAUGAUUAUUAAGGAGAUUUGCAUUUGUUUGAAGGUCCCAUUUCUCGAUUAUAGGUCACACCAAAAUCAAGUAAGGAAAAAAAACGUUUUUUGUAAUCGAACAGCUUGGUUGGCUGUUGGCACAACAAUUGGAUCCAAAGGACGCACCUUUCUCUAAAAAUUUAGUACCACACGUAUGUGUCACAGGCCGCGAGCGUGCUUUGCCCGCAUCACUUCGAGUAAGUCUCGUCACGCAAUCUUCUUAUUCUAGGACUCAUGCAUUGUUCGUGACAUACAUUUAUGUUUAUGUCGUAAUUAUUUUGUUAAAAGCGAUGAUUAAAAAGAACAAUACUACUUACCCGAAAUAUUUUAAAAACAUGUAAGAACAUAUUUUUUUUUCAUCAAAAUAACUUUUCUUGAUAAGUAGACUUUCAUCAAUUUCUUUUUGAUAGCUCCAUAUCUGAUUUUUGUUGCAGGUGGCUCUUUCACCUGUCAAAUGGAUUGGCAAGCUAGCGCCGGAUGUCUGAUCCAAUAUGAAGUGACUUGAAAGUUUUUACAAAUUUAUUGAUCACUAUAAACCUAUAUGGUAAUUCUUCAUGAAACCAAUAUUAUCUUUAAUCUUUUCUUGAUAUAACCUAUGAUAUUAAAGAAGAUAUAAGAAAUAUAGAUUGGUUUCAAAUCUCACUAGACUUAAUUCUAGAUUAUUUGACUAUCGAAAAUUUUGGUAUGUGAUAAUGAUAUAAUUGUAUUUGUUUCGCAUCAUGGAAUAAAUAUAAGAAAAAAAUGAUAUUUUAGUAAAAAAUCAUAUAAUAUAAAUAGAAUAAACUUGAAAAUUUAUAAUUACAAAAGAAAGAAAUAGAAAAGAUAAAAGACAAAAGGAUUCACUAUAGCUAAGGAAACAAAUUAUUGCAAUUAAGAAAUAUUGCAUUCUAUAAAAGAUUUAAACUUUGUAUGAAUAUAAGAGCUUAUACUAAAAUAAAAUAGCGAUGUAAAAUAUUCAAUUAGCCUAACUAAUUAAAGUAGAAAAAAUAAAAAAGAUCAUAUAUGUAAAUUAAUAAUGACAAUAGCAAUAUCAAUUACAUCAUUUUACAUGCAAUUACAGAUUAAACAUGUAAUUACUGAAAAUAGUAAAAAAUUACAUAUUAAACCAUUUAAGCAUAAUGGAACAUAAACUUUUAUAAGUUUCACUGAUUAAUUAUUCAUGAAACUUGUAAAACUAAUUUUUUUUAACUAUUCAUUCUUCAACACCUUUUAACUUUGCAAAGUCCAUUCCUGUAUCAAUUCAAUUUAUCUUUUAUUUAACUUAAUUAGAAUUGUAAAUUAAACAUCAAUGUCCUAGCUUAUACGUGAGCAAGAAAUAGGUAAGCAACCCUAAACCAAAGUGUUUAAAAGAUAAUUUAAAUAAGACUUAAAUUAGAUGUAUUCCAUAACAGCACAGGAAAAGGCCAACUUAAGGUAAAUACUUAUUGUAAUAAUUGGAUAGGCACUUAUGCAAUACUACUGUGAAUGGAUGUCACACGAUUGAUAAGAAUGUUCUUGUUGUUUCUUAUUUGACUGCUACUCAGAUAUAGAAGCAUCAUCAUUCUCAUAGUAACCUUCUUCAUCAUAGCUCUUUUUCUUUCUUGCAUGGGUAAGUUUUGACUAAGGAUGAAAGAAUACAAAUAAAGAUCAAUAGUCUAGUCUUGCUUCAUGAAUCAAUAAAAAAUUGAAAUUAGCCAAACAUAAUGAAUUUUUUCCAUCAAACCAAGAUUUUCAACUGAAAUUAAUAAAAUAUGUCAUUUAUAGGACACAAAUUCAAAAAAAUAAUAGUAAUUGGAUUUCCUUUUGGUAUUGUUUGUAUGUGGUAAAGGAAUAUCUAAUCUAACAAAAGCUCACUUAUUUAAUAUUAAAAUUUUGUUCUAUUGAUAAACAUGGCAUAAGUUUCAUGCUAGAAACUAUAUGGUCAUAUGAAAUGUUAAACAACUCUUAAUAAACAGACUACUACCCAUUCAAUUAUUUUUUGAAAUCAAACAAAAAUUUUAUUCUUUUUUUUUGUUUUUUAUUUAAUUCAUAAUUUAUUGGAUUUCACAAACAUAGAAGUAGAAGAGAGGGAGCUAAUAGAAGAAGUAACUAAAGCAAAAAAUAUUGCAUGACUAAGCAUUAGGUGGACCGUAAGGCCAAUCUUCCAAUUUCUUGCAUCAUCUAACAUCGCUACAUGGAAAUUAAUACAUUUAUCAAUCCGUUUACAUCCAUAUAAGGUAAAAAAGGUUAUCUUAUAAAAAAUAGAAGUACUUAUUACUUUUUCAACCAACUUAACAGAUUCAUAUUUCAUAUACGCAAGCAUAACAAUCGCUUUCUCAACAAUCUUAAGAUAUAGUAAUUAGGGGCAAACAAAAUAAAAAUUAACUUCUUUUCUACCAUUAAUUUAAACUUUAUAAAUGUUAAAUCAUAAAUCAUUCGUCUAAUUUUAAAACCAUCAUAAAAUCUGUCCAAAAUCAUUGGUCUAAGGACCAUGAACGACUAUGGACCAUUGCACACCCUACAUCCUACUAUUUUACUAUAUAUGUUUUCAAGUUUGUUAGAGUCUUUUUAUUUUUCUAGAAUAAAAACAUGAGAAAGUCAUAAGCAUUAUUUCAACUCCUCAUUCAGCUCUUUAGCACCAAACUCAUCAAAGCUCUUCCCUGCAACAAUUGUCUUUUAGUUACUACUCCUAACAAUUUCUCAAAUGUAAGAGAACCAAUACAUAUAUAAAAAAAAAAGAAACAACUUAUUAACUGCUUAGUAAAUAUGUAGUGGUUAAAUAUAACCAACCCAAUAUUUUAUUAAGCUCAAAGAAACUAAUGCUAAGUUACAUAUAACCAACAAAAAAAUAAUAUCAAAUUUGUAAUUUUUUUUUUGUUUUUUCUUAGUAUCUCAAAUACCCAACAGCACACAAAAUAAGCUAAGGUUCCAAGCCAAACAAACUAAAUUAAAAAAAUAAGAAGAAUCAAUAGGUAAAGAGAGUGUGAGGAAAAGAUAAACCUAGAGCUGAGUAAAAGAAAAAACUUCAAUGAUAUAUACACAUAUAUAUAUAUAUAUAUGUAGAGAGAGAGAGAGAGAGAGAGAAAGCGUUAGAUGUGAAAAGAGUGAAGUAAGAGAUUGAAAGAACCAGAAAGCUUUAGUUUUUAAUACUCUUAGUCUUUUACUACUAAACAAAGAACUUAAAAACUCAGCAAAUGUUUUUGGAUUACUUGACCUACUUUUGUUGGGUCUUUUUAUUAUACCAUCAUGUUGGCUUGCUUUGCUUCAAUGCUUGGCAUCUCUCUUUCUACUUUGAACUCUCUUUUAUCUCCUUACCAUAAAGAAAAAAGUAAUCAAAUAAAAAAACACAACAAUUUGAAAAAAAAAAAUCAUAUUCUAACUAUUAUACAUGUAAUCCAACUAUUACGAAGGUUGAAGAAAAGUAUCAAACCAAUAUGAACAAGAGUUGACCUUAAAUCAAAACAAUAUCAAAUAUUUAAUAAUUUAUAAAAAAAUAAAAUAAAAUACUCAUCAAAUUAAAGCAAAACUCUCACCAAAAAUAAAAUAUCCAAAAAUUUUGUCACUCAUCAAAAGGGAAACACAUUCAUUGAAAAAAAUCUGAAAUUUCUAAACAAAUAACGAAUAUAGAACCCCAUAGAGCAGAAAAAGUUUUAACAAAACAAAACCCAUAAUGUAUUCAAACCCAAAAACAAAGAAAUACAAUGAAAAAAAAAAUAGAAAAAAGGAGAAAAUAUGGACAAACGGCAUCAAGGAUGAUAGCUAAGCAAUAAAAAAUUCUAGAAGAAAUAAAAAGAAAUAGUAAAAGCCAAAAAAACCCUUCUUCAAAAGAGGAAAAAAUGAUGAGAAACCAAACCAAAAAUAGAGACAUGUGACAACCCAAGGAUCUUUCGGGAUCUUUUUUAUAUAUAAUAGUAUAGAUUAUAAAUACUUAAAAUUGUUCAAUCCAAUACUGAACCAAAUUCAAAAACUCUAUCAUUAAAUAAAAAAAAAAUUCAAUCCAAAACUUGAGUAACAACUGAACUCAUCUCGAGAAGAAAUUGCAUAGAAGAACUCAAUUAUAAAUUACUUGAAUUAGAGCAAUUAACCAUUCAAACUCCAAUAUCUCAUCAGUUUGUUAAAAAAAAAUGAAAAAACCCACUAAGUUUGGCUGUCGCCAACCGAUCCUAAACAGGAUUGAAUCUAAUCCGAAAUUCAAUACAAAAAAAAUGGCUUGUAGCUUGUAAGAAAGAAGUUUCAUUUCAUACAAUUGACAAGUUUCUGUUAAUGCAGAAGCAGAACACUCAAGACUCCCUGAAAGCUGAAAGCUGCAGGGUAAGGGAUACUUAAACUUCCUCAAUUCAUGACAACUUUAAACUAAAUCUGAUAAUUCAUGCAUGUGUUUUUUUAUUUUGUAUAAAACAUUUGUAAAAAACAAGAAUUAUCAAGUCAUAAUUCACAUUGAUAUGUUAAACAUGAAAUAUAUUUUUUUGUUUUCAAUUUUUUUCAUAUUAUCUUUGUAUUGUGUUACCAUAUUGUAUUUAAAAUUGUCGAAGUUUAAUUUACAGCGAAGGAUAUAGAAUAUCAAUACUUAUUUUGUUUUUGGAACUUUUAUCUUUGUUCAAGAAUAAAUCAAUUGGAACCCGAAACUUUACUCAAAUUAUUCACGUAAUCAUCUUUGAAAGGUAACAUCCAGCGAGUAUGGGGUUCGAGUCUAAUACUUGCAACCCCUUCCUGUAUAAAAAUUCAAUUGGGUUGAUCAACUAGCCAUUCCUGACUUGACUGAGUGAUCAACUAGGCAAACAAGAAAAAGCCUGACACAAAAUGCAGCAAUUCCUUACAUUUCUUAUUGUUUUCUGUAGCAAAAAUUACAUGGAAAUUUAUUACAUUAAGCCAAGGCCCCUCAAACAUCAGCAUUAGAAGGUAAAGCAUAUUCACACUUCCGGAAUGAAAGCAAACAUGCCAGCCUCAUAUCACAUUCCUUUUCACUUUUCUUUGAACUUAAGCAUGUUCAAGAUCCAGAUCAAGAUUCAAGCAGGAGACACUCCAGGAUUCCAUCACUCCAUCAAUUUUCUCAAGACAUCUUUCUUAGGCUUCAAGAUUCAUUUUUCAGUUUGGACAUGAAAUUCCAGAAAUCCUACUUUGCUGAACAAACAGUUUUGCGUCAGUUCUUGUUCAGAUUUCGGCUAACAAUAUCACUUCUACUCAAAAUCCAAAGUUGUCUUUCUUUUCAAGAAUCAACCUAACUAAUCAUACUUCUCCCUCCAUGAAUAUACAAGAAGGAACACCCAGGAGAGCGCCAAGGCAAUAUCCCCAAGAGCUUGUCUAGGCCACUCAUGAGCAAGAUCCUCAAGCUUUCCUUCAAAAGAAACUCUCCAAAUAACCAUUGAAACAUGAAGAAGUACACACCCUUUAGCAAAGAAGCUUUGGAAUUCUGAGUCUUUAACAAAUGCCACCAUGAACACUACCAAACCAAUAGUGAAUAAAAGCAAUCCAGAAAAUGAUUCAGAGGUUUGGAUCAAGAGUUGAUCAUGAGGUGUUGAACCUUGUAGCUUACUUGCAAUCUCAUGACCAUGGCCAAAAACUGAAACUUCCUUGGUGUAAAACAUCAUUAAAGCUCCACAAGUAAUAGCUACUAUAGAAUGGAGCACACAAAUAAUGAAGAACCCUGGUGAGCUCAUUGAUCAAAGAAACUAAUGGAAACUUUUAUCUUCCUUUUAACCAAAACUGAGCUUUAAAAAAUAGCGUAGCUAAACAGUGACAGCCUCUAAAGUCUAGACCAUACCUUCAAGACAAGUGAUUAGAACCUGUAAUAUAUGGUCCCUAUGAGCAAAACCCAAGCAUAUGAUAAACUUACUUGCUCAAAAACAUAGAUGAAAGCUUGGAUCCAAAACGCUGACCCCAGAGCUGAGGGUGUUAGAAGGCAGAAAUUGAAAGGGGUUUAUAAAAAGGAAGAGUUUCUAAUGGAAGAGGCAAAAGGAGUUUAUUACUUGGGAUUAGCAGUAAUGGGAAAUCGAGCCAGCUGUAUAAAUGAAUAUAAUUUUCAUUAUUUUAUAGGAGAUUUUAUUUGGAUUUAGAGAGGAUAGCCUUGAGAUUGCUUCCUUCCAUACCUCCAUGCACAAAAUGACAUGCUUUUUCCUCGGUUACUUGCUCAUUCUGCAAAGCAACCCAACAUUCGUGGGGUGUAGAGUCAUGGGUGAACAUUAUUUUCCUGUUUUCCCUUUUUUUUUUUCAACUAACUAAUGAUUUUCUUGAUACAAUAAUUUUGGGAUAUCUUUGUUAUACAUGGAAUGAGAUCAUGUAGGGACAAAACUUUAUGGACUUUUUUUGGUAUUUUUGACCAAUCCUAAUAAAUUUUCUACCCAUAAAAAGAACUUUAAUGUCUUGAAUUGAGGAGAUGUGGUUGGUUGAUUGGUCCUCUUUAGAAAGUAAUGGCUCACCAUGUUAGGGACUUUGGCUUAUCUACAGUAGUUGUCAAAUCUUGUCAUUUUCAUUUCAUUACCAAUUAAUGGAGUCACCCUCACCUCAUAAUUUCAUGAAAUAAUAAAAUUGUUAAAAUUCUAAAGACUUCAUGUGUUGUCAAUCUUGAACUUGCAAAAGAUCUCCUCUAACACUGCUUUAGAAAAUAAUAUUCACUGAAUCAAAUGUUCUUAAAUUUUAUAUUGUUAAUUUUAAUAGCAUAAUCAUGGUAUAACAACCUUUCAGGUUUAUUUUUCAAUUGCUUUUGAUUGUUUUAAGAUUACUUUUCUUACUUUACCAAAUUCUUCCGAACAUUGCUGCGUUUUCUUUCUUUUUUCCUAUAGGCCAACCAAAUGAGAACUAUGCUGCGCUAUCAAAUGGAGGUUUUUCAAGAGGAAGCCAUCAUUGAUAGAUCUCACCUUACAGCUGUAGAGAAUAAAGGAUUCAUCUGAUGCUCUAAAAUCAUCUUCCAACAUGGAUAUGAAUCACACGGACAAUCUGGCAAUAGAAACUGUGUUUCAUUUUACCAAACAUGUCUCUUCACAAAAAAUUUUGCUGUCUAAAUUCCAAUCAAACUGUAUCAGAACAAAGAUUACCGCUUUGGGCUAAGCCCUUGUAAGAUUGUCAAAGAGCACAGUCAAAUAUGUAAGAUAAUAUGAAAGAGAGAAGGGAAACAAAUUAACAAGAUUUGUGCCUGCCUAUUAUUUAAUAGAUCUGUUCAAUGGGCUAUAAACAGAUUGGCAUGAUCAGGAGAUUAUCAAAGUCUGCCUUAAGGAGACUCUUAAAUGCUAGAACCCUGUUUACUUUUCCUACAAUAACACAUGUUCAGAAACAAAAUUCACUUCCCCAAAAGCAUAACCAAACACAUUUGAGAGAAGAUACAGUACCGAAUGAGGAACUGCUGUCAAGAACUUGACCCAGCAGUUAGCAAAAGAUGCAGCAUGAAUAUGAAAAUGUGCCAGGCAAGAUUGAAAGCAAGAGACAACGAAAAUGACAGCAGCUUGUAUGAAGCUCAUUCAGGAUGUACAACAAUAAAAGAAUAGAUAUCAAAAUUUCAGACAAAAAAAUGUGCCAUUUUACUCCUUAUAUAAUCCUACCAUUAUCUAAUUAGUCCUACUCCGUAAUGAGUGACGACAAUUAGAAGCAAUUUGAUUUUUGUUAAAAAAAAAAAGGACAAAAAAAGAGCUACACUUCCUUUUCAGUUUGGCUCACACAGCAUUCAAAAGGAAUUGCUAUCUCUAUUACCAGCAGCAGCCUUACGGUGACGCCUGGAACCAGAUCUCUUAUCCCUCCCGUGUCUAGGGAUCUUCUUCCCUGGAGUUCUUCCACGUGUAUUGAUAUUGGUCAAAGCUAGUGGGAUUUGAGUUACAGCAGCAACUGGUGGAGGCAUUUGCUCCAACAAAUCUCUAUGGUAUGCCUGUGAAGAAAAAAUCACAACAAAAUGAUUACAUGUACCCAUCAAACCUACACAUGCCCCCAUCCCAGAACAUGCAUAGAACAUUGGUUGUAUUCAACAAAUGCCUACGGGAUCCCUCUAACCAAAAAAUACCUAAAAAGCCUCAAUUCUUUAAUAAACCAUAUCAUGCAAAUGAUUUUUGACAUCGCAAGAUAUUUGAAACAUGUGUUCUUCUUAACUCCUUACGAAUUUGCGGAUUUGGAAAACAAGCUGCUACCCCCCCCCCCCUUUUUUCUCUCUUUCACCUUUUCUCUUUCUCUCUAUUUGCAUACUCCCAAUAAAAAUGGGAAAAGAAUAUAUUUAGGUUUUAUGCUCUAAAUUAAUCCCAUCAAGUUAAUAUGCCAAUACAUAUUAUGUACCUGUAUGACAAAAUUGCGUCUUUCACAAUCCAAGAACAUAUUUAUACCCCAAUCAACUUUUGCCAUUAUUUUAUCCCUUACUAUGGCAAAGCUUAACUGGUCCCUGGAUGUAAAACGAUCAACUUCAUUAAACCACAGGCAGGUAAACAGAUUUGUGACGGGAAUAUGUUCCUUUAUGAGUACACAACCUUCAGGAACAUCUGUAGGAAACCAGUCAGGCACCAAAAGUUAAAUUAUUUUAAUAAAGAUAUGGUUGAAACAGUGAAAGGAAAAGGCAUGUAUGUAUUUGUGUAAAAUAUUGUACAUACCACUGGUUAUAGGAAGCUUGGCCUCAGAAUAUGGUGUUAAACCCUCACUUUUAUAAAAAUCCACCUGCUCAUCAAUUGAGGAAUUAUCAUAUUUUCCUGCAGCUUUAUUUGCUUCAGCCUCUACAAAGACAUCAAAUCGUCUGUAGUGUCUCGAGAUUGCAAAAUUAGCAUUUUGGCGCCACAGGAAUCUGAGAGGAAGAAUGACCAAAUAAGAAAAUGGUCAAAUUAAAUUCAAUUAUAUCCUCAAAUCUAAAGUUAAAAACUUAAAACAUGCUUACUACAAAUAAUUGAUGGAUAAUUGAAGGCUGUCUUCACUAAGUUACUAAAGCUUUAUAUAGAACCAAAUUUCCUUAAUCAAGUUAUUAGUUCCUUAAGUCCUAACUCUCAGGUUGUACUGCCUUUUCACUUUUCCAUACUCCAACUAGAAUAUAUCUCAAGAAAUCAUAAAAGUCAAAACUUAAAGAGUUAAAAUAUAUAAAUCUUACAACCGGGCAAGCUUACACAAAUAUAAGUCACAUAACUUUUGGAUCAAUGAAUAAUUCACAAAUCAAAUAGAAGAUGAAGCCAACUUUUUGUUGUCAUUGCAUCACAAAUAUGUAAUAUCAUAAUUUGAGAUGGCAUUGCCAGAAUCUCUCAUUCGACCAACAUUGAAUAUUAAACCAAAUUCAAUCUUAUAUUUAAGUAGCUUUGUAAACCAAAAAUUUGGUUAAUAUUCUUGAAUAACAAAGAGAUCGUGAUGUUCCAUUAUUAAGAGAUGCAGUCCAUCUGACAGAACAGAAAUCACAAAAUCUAGAAUUUAGGAAUCCAUUUUUAAAAAUCAACAGCACAUAAAUAAAAUCAUGAAAUGAAGUGUACCUCUCAAGAAUUUGAUAAGGAUCCACAACAAGCUGUAGCUUUCCAUCAAUCCAUAUAGAGUAGCGAACAUUUGGGAAGAUUCUAUGCAAUAAAAGCUUCGGGACCUGCCAAUACAUGCCAGGUAAAAAAGAUUCAGCAGCCCUGAAGUGUAUAUUACCUAUGAAAUUUCUGAUAAGGACGAAUGCACCAGAUAUCCCAGAACUUUCAUCUAAUAUCAACUCAGUCAUUACAAUUUUGUGUAAUGAUAUAAAUUUAGGUUCAUGUUGAAGAGGAAAAACUGAGACAAGGAUGAGAGUCAACGACCCAAUCCCUCCCUCCCCUGCCUCUUCUCUCUGUCAUCCUUGCUCUGGCAGCAUCAGAAAUGUUUUAAAAGAAAACUGGUAGUCUCUGAACUUGACAGUGAAUCCAAAUACUGUAGAACAACUUCACCAUUGUUGCUAAACAUCUAGGAGACUACCUAUCAGAUUAGGUUUAUUUGUACUAUAAAUACCACGACACAUCACUUAUCCACAUUUCUUCACCUAACCAACCAAAAGACAUGUGCUUUUUCUUGUUUGUCUCUUACAACCAAACAAAACUAAAUUGUAGUCACACCCUUUACUAACAGCAAACUGCAAAGUAUAAUACACUAAGUCACCAUUAGUAUUAAGUUUCUAGCAGCCUAGAGUAUAAAAACAAUGAAUCAAAUUACAAAAUCAACCUCACAUUAUAGGUGACAGACAACACAGAACAAGAAUCAAAAGGCACAAGGACAUAGAAACAUCAAACAUAACAUCAGAAUUUCAGUAUUCUCUGCAUGUGUUUAAAUGAUUUAAUGAAUUCAGCAACAGUAAUUCCCACUUUCUUGCAUAUGUACCCAGGAUUCAAUAUCCUUGAUAUCAAAAAAAUAAAUAACUAAAUGAAGAUUCAAGGAUCUUAUAAAUGCUGAAAGAAGAACUGAUUACAAAAAGCCCAAGUAAUGGUCAGAAAAAUGGGGAAAAAAACAGAGCAAAUCAACCAAACCAGUCCGCUGACCUUCCCGUUACGUCUGGCAUCACUGUAAGGAACGUUAUGGCUGACAACAAUUCUCCACAAGCCCACCCUUUUACUGCUAUCCAAAAUACUUUCGUUCUUCAUAUAUGCUUCUGUCUCUUCAUCAAUAAACAUGUAGAAAGGAAUAUUUUUCUUUGCUUCUUCACUAAUAUUCCUCGGCUGUUGUAUUAUGUCAUAGUUCCCUGGAGAAAAAUAAAUAAAGCAAUGAUGAGGAUCAGACAUACAUAAAAGCAAGAAGCUCUUGUGGAAGAUUGAAUGCCUAGCAGUACCAAAUAUGGCUGAUGCAACAAUGAUGUCAUGGAACUGCUGCAACUCUUCAAGGUCAGACUCAUCAAAGUCAAAUCCAGUCUGACGACCAGGUUUACUUCCCUUGACGAAUCUGACAGAAAGUAAAUGGAUUAACAAGACUUAUAUGAAGACAAAUAAUUCAUUGAAUCAUUUACAUGCACCAUAUAAACCAUAACAAUCACAUAAAUUUUUACCUCAAAUGUCUGCAAUAAGUAUGCUACAUUGAAAAAGUGACAAGGGAAGUGAAACCUACCCACAGUGCACUGUCAUUGACUCUUGUAUAUCAAAAGAAUCAUUUCUUUGCUUUAGAGAUGGAUAUCCACUAAAGUCAGAGCCCCCAUGCGGUUCACUUUUGAUUGGAUUUUCAUCAUGAACAUAUGUCAAAUUACGAAGCACUGGAAAUACUGAUGGGUAGCUUGGCAUGCUAGCUAAGGCCUGAUCCACAGGGAGGUAACAUACCGGACAUGCUGAAAAAGGGUUGAGCAAGAAUUGAAUCAGUAGCAAGAUAAUGACACAUAUACUAGAUAUGCACACAUUGACACUUGCAUGACAAGAUGAGAAAACGUUAUUUCAUUCUUAUGAUUAUGCACGGAUCAAUUUAUUUUGGUACAAGAGUUAUUAUGAUUUAAAAAAGAACAUAAUGAAUAAUCCAAUGGCUUUCUGGUGAUAUCUUAUGUUAUUAUUAAACAAAUAUGUUUGCUUCUAUCUAAAACUACUGCUUUAAUGCAUUCACGUGAAAAACAUUAACACAAUUACAUUGAAGGCCAUCUUCCAAUUUUAAAUGCAAUUCCAAAUAAUGAGAACAAGAAGAUUGAACUCAAGCUUACGUCGAGGUCCAAUCCGUCUGAGAGAAGGUGGAGGGGGAGGAGGAAAUGUGAAAUUUGCACAUGGAUGGUGCAAUGGCAAAAUGCUUGCACCUUUAGAAGGAGAAACUGAAAAUCUAUUUCUAUCACCUCCUUUAAGAUUGUUUGCCAUAGAAUACUGUUCAUAUUUCUGCUUCCUUCCAAGAAUACUUGAAGCUCCUGGAUUUCCUGGGGCACCAUUGACAAAAGGAACCAUGCCCAGAAUUCCAGUCCGUUGAUCAACAUUUGACCUAGUGCUUUCUAGUUCAUUAAUCAUACAGAAAGCAAACCAGAAAAGAUCAAAUUACCAUGCUGAGAACAAAAAGUUACAGAUUCAUUACAUUAACCAGUAAAUGAUGCCAGUAAAAGACUAAAUAAAGAAGAAAUAUGUAAACUGAUGCCUAUUCUACCUAUAGAAUUAAAGUUUAAUGCUCUAACAAUCAGGAUCCAAGAAUCAAGUUAGAACCUAGAACCCAAAGUAACAAAAAAGGAACAAACCUUUGUUGACUACAAAAGAACCCAAGACAAAGACCAAAAGAGCAAAGGCAACCAGAAGCAGCAUGGAAACCUUCCGACGACCUAGAUACCGGCACCAAACAUAGGGGAGAGACCUCUCCUUUUCCCUAGAACCUGAAAUCAUCUUGGUUGAACUCUUCCGUAAAAUACCCAAAGAUUUAGAGUGCAAUAAUCUUCCACCAACAGCAAUAACACCAUUGGUGUUCUGCAAUGACCCAUAACUCCCUGUACGUAGACCCAAUGACCCUCCAGUCAUUGUAUCUCAAAUCCAACCCCAAGUUUCUCACUCAUUUCCUUUCACCCUCUCAUUCACUCAUAACCACCCCACAAAACUUCUCUCUCCAAAAAACUGUACAAGAAAGAUUUUUUUUUUUUUUUUUGCUAUGGCAAUUUGGAAGCAAAGCCAAUCACCCAAUUCUCCAUUUUAGACAAAUAAUACUGUGAAUAUUGGCCAAUAAAUCAAACCUCUAUAAUGCAUAUCAACAGAUAUACCAAUAAGACAGUUCUCCAAAGCUCUUCAUUCUUCAAAUUGUUCCCAAAAUCUAAUGUGAUUGACUUCUGUUAACACACAGAUUAAAAAAAACAGAAAGUCAGAUAUCUUUUUCUCCAAAACACUUCAGACAAAGAUUAUAACUUUUUUCAUAUAUGUCAGAUUUCAGAACAAAAACCAUUGACCAAUUCUUCAUCUUUUUUACAUUGCAAAAGAUUGAGAUUGCUGUAGCGCCUCUAAAAUCAAACCUCCAAUCAUGAAAAUACACAAACUAAUCGCCAAAUUAAAGUAAAAUUGUUCCUUUAACCAAUGUGAUUGAAUUCUGCAAAGAAAAACUACAAAAAUAUGGCAAGAAUUGAAACUUUUUUCCACAUCAAGCCUUAAAAUAACCAAAAAAAAACUAUGAUUCAAUUUCUCUUAACUUGAUCUCAGAAACCAAUGUGAUUGAAUUCUAUUAACCCAACCAAAGAAAAAAGAAAGAAAUUAUCAAACAUAGAGACAUAAAAAUUUGGCAUUGAAAACUAAAACCCAGUUUUGAAUUUCAUUAAACUUGAUCUCAAUAACCAAAGUGAUUCAAUUUAUUAACAAAUAUCCCAAAAAAAAAUCCCUUAAAAAAAAUUGGGUCUUUAUCUGUGAAAUGAGAGGAUAAUCGAUAAGACCCAAAACCAAAAAUAAAAAAAAUGUAAUCACAGUUUAAAUGAAAUAACUCAAUUUUCAGGAGUUCAAACCCAAUCACAAAUCAUACCCCACAAAAUGAAAAAAAAAAAAAAAAAAAAAGAAAUAAUUUGGUAAAAAAUGUAUGGAAAACUACUUACCUUUAAGAAAAUGUAGGUCACUGUUCUUUUUUUUUUUUCUUUCCUUUUCGCUUCUUUGAUUUUCCUGUGGAAUACUUUUGAGUUUUUUUUUUUUUUUUUUCUGAUGGUGAUUGUUUUGGUAACUGGAAAAAUGAAAAUAACAGAUUUGAUUUUCUUUUUUAUUUGUAAAGUAAAUAAGAUCUCGAGAGACAAAUGUGACAAAUGUCGUUUCUUUUUGGACAACAACAAUUCAAUUUUAUCUUACGUGGAUAAUCUGCCCGGACAGGGAGCAAUCCGAUGCAAAUGCUCCUAUUUUAUUGUGAUGAAGAUACUAGCUGGCUUAUCGCUAUUGGUUAAUGUAAAACUUUUGUUUUUUUGCCAACAUAGAACUUGAUAAUUUAACAAAUAAAAAUUCCUUUGAGUCUGAUUUUUAUCAAUCAAAUUUUCUUUAAAUUUGACAAUAUUUUAUUUAUAAAUUAUUAUUUAAAUAAAAUUUUAAAAAUAUUUUUCAAAACUUAAAUAAAAUAGCUUUAAGAAUAUAUCAGUUUUAAUAAAUCAAAUAUGUUAAAUGAUUAAAAUUAGAAGUGAAAAAAAAAACAUAAAAAUCAUUCAAUUUUAAUUUUUUUAAUUAUCAAUAAAAUAAGUAAUUUGUUUUUUUUUUUCCGUCAAACCCUCGUGGUGGCAAGGGAGGAGGAAUGCAUUCCAUGCUCGAGACAGUAAGCAACUUUUGGUGAAGAGGUUCGAUUUUUAUUUGUUUAUAUUUGUAUAUUAAAUUUAAUAAAUAAUUAUAAAUAAUUUUUUUUAAAUUAAUUAAUUAAAUUAAUAGUUUAUCAACAUAAUAAAAUUUAUUUAUAUUUAAUUCUUUUAUAUUUGAAAGUGUGAACGAACAAAGCAUUUGAGGAAUAAUUUAUGAAUAAACUCAAUUUUUAUUCAUUGAUAUAUUUUAAUAAAUGAUUAUAAAUAAUAUUUUAAAAUUUAUUUUUAAACAAAUAAAUCACAAAACAUAACAAAAUUUAUUUAUAUUAUAUUUGUUUACUUUCUUACUCCCUUGGUUGACAUCUAAGGAUUGAAGAUCUACCCAAAAUUGUUGGGUUAUAAUCUGACCUAAUAAUAUUAUUUUUUAAAAUUAAGUUUCGGGUUAAGUUGAUUUUUUCUUUUUCUUUUAAAUUCAAAUCAGGUUAAAAUUAUGUUUUAAGUAAAUCCACCUCAACCCAACUUGAUAUAUAUAAAUAUAAAAUAUUUGAUUAUUUACUCAAUUUUAUAUUUAUAUAUAUUAUAUUAAUUUUAAUACUUUAAUUUAAUAUAUUAAUUUAAUAAAAAUAUUAUAUUUAUGUAUAAUUAAAAUAAAUUUAUAUUAAAAAUAAUAUUUUAUGAAUAUUAUGUUAAAUUAAAAUUAUUAAAUUAAUUUUAAAUCAAUUAUAAUUUUAUAUAUAUACAAGUCAAAAUUAAAUAUAAAAAAUAAUACUUUAAUAUCGAAUCGAAACUAAAAUUGAGUAUAUAUUUUAUAAAAUUAGAUGGAAGUUGAAACGAGUAAAAAUUAAUCUGGAUCUGAUGAUGUCCCUUUAACGACAUCUUUAGAAACUAUAAUAUAUAUAUUACAGUAUUUUGAGAAAAAAAAUUGCAAAGGUAAUAAUUUCCCUCAAUUCUCUUUUUAAUAAAUCCAAUUCACAUUUUGUUAUAUUAAAAUGCUUAUGGCACUUAUAAUAAAUAAUAGAAAUGGAGAAAAUGAUGGAUAAGAAGAAAGUUGUGGCAUGUAAUUAUAUGUAGCAACUAACAAGACAAACAUUGCUAUUGGUAAUUAAGACAAUCAUGGAUGGUAAUAGGAUAAGAAUGAACUUAAUGAUAAUUGAAAAUGUCAUGUGAAAUAGAUUUAUUAAUUUGUUUAAUAUGAUUGGGAAAAAAAAAAAAAAAGCUGAGACAAGAACAUAAUUUUUUAUUUCAAUUCCUUCAAAUUUAAAAAGAUAAUAAGAAAAAGUUAUAGAUAAAACAUUUGAUAUUAGUUUGUCUUUUUUUUUUUUUUUACUUUUUUAAUAUGGAUGUCCUAGAUUUCUUGUUUUAGGAAGCAAAGGUCCUAAACCUUUUCUCUUUAUUUUUAUGCAAAUUUUCAUAAUUAAUUUAAUUCAAAAAAAAAAUUUUAUUUCAUUUUUAUGUUGUAAAAAUUUUUACCCCAAAAGGUUCUAAAGAUUAGUUAUUAAUGAUGAACAUUUAAUAGGCUAAUUGAUUUCUUAUGUGGUAUAAAUAAAUUUCAUAUUUUAAUAUAAUAAGAUAAUUCAAUUUUAAAUAUGCUUUCAUUUUCUAUUAUUCAAACAACUAAUCAUAUUAACAAUAUUUUUAUUCUAAAAAAAAUAUAUUUCUAAUCCUAUUCUCACUCAAUUAAUAUUUAUACAAAUAGUUAUUUCAUAUCCAUCUCAAUGCUUACCUAUUUUCAAAUUGCAUUUGAUAUAUUUCUCUUAUUUUGAUAAAUAAUUUAUAUAAAUUUAGUAUUUUCAACUCCUAUUUUGAGUAAAUAAGGGUAGUUUAAAUAUUUUUCUUGAAGUUAAUUAAGUUAUAUUAUAUAGAUAUGAAGUAUAUAAUAGUGGGUAGCCUUUAAUCACUCUUUGGAAUAGGGUAAAUUAUUUUUAGUGAAAUUGUUAUAACUCUUUUCUUUUUUUUUUCAAAUUAAACAAGAUUAUUAAGGAAGGAAUAAAUGGUUUUUUUAUUUAUGAAAUUGUUUCUUUUUUUACAUUAAAUGGAAUUUUCUUUAUAGAAUUUAUUAUUAGUGAAAUUAUUCAAUCUAUUGUCAAUGAAGUUUUUAUAUUUCAAAUUAAGUUUUUAUAGAAAGCACGUGAAAGGCUUUUGUGUAUUAUUUUCUCAAAUGUUUCACAAAAUCUCUUUUCUUUUCAUUUUUCCCUUUAAGGUAAUAUUUGAUAUUAUUUUUUAGAUUAACACGGUGACUAAUUACCAUGAUGAUAAAAUCACCAAAUUAAUUUGAUUAUUAGUGAUUUUAGAUUAUUAUAUUUGAUAUAAUAUUAUAAAUCACUAUAUUUGGUAUUUUAUGAAAAAACAAAUCAUAUAGUAAAAAAAAAAUCCAAAAUAACCUUACAAAAAAGUAAAAUAUUUAAUUAUUAUUGAAUCAAUAAUUUAUAAAAAUAAUUAAACUUUAUUCUAUAGAAAACUAUAAAAUAUAAAUCAAUUUUAAUAAAAAUGAUUUCUAAAAAUUUAUUAAAUAAAUUCAUAUAUUUUUUCUAAUCAUUAUAAAUUUAUAACAUAAAAUCUUUUUAGAAUAAGUGAUUAAAAAAAAUUGUUUUUUUAAGUUUUUAGUAGCUAGCUUAUUGGGAUAAUAUAAAAUAAUAAUAUAAACAUACCUUAUGGUGUAUAUUUAAAAAUAUAAAAUAAUAGGACACGUGUCACUUUAUUAGUUUUGUUUAUAAAAGUAAAAAAAUUCUAUUGAUAAUAUAUUAAAUAAUUUCUCUAACUAAAAACCCUUUUUUCAAAGAGCAAAUUCAUUAUCACUAAUUUUCAUACCUUACCAUCCAAAAAAUGAGAAAUAUUCUAAUCAAUAACUUAACUUUUCAAAUACAUUUUCAAUCUUCCUUUCCAAAUGAGAGAAGCCAAUGGCCCCUCAAUCCUUUGCACAAUUCCUAAAAAUUUCCCCGUAAAAUAAUGGAAUUGGUAACUAAGAUAUAAAUCGGAAAGGCCUUAAUCAUGGGAAGCUUUAACGAAUGUUGAAUUGAAUGGCGACAUGGUCAACACAGAAGGCGAAAUUGUGGUCCAAACAAUCUUUGAGUUUUAAAAUGGGCCCCAAGUGUUUGUUCAAUUGUCUCAUCGAAAGAGGACAUAGCCAUAAAUUUCACAUGCGCAUAAUCAUAUGGAUAAAACUAUUUGUAAUUUAAUAUAUUUGGACAGAGCAAGCUUCUUCUAAUUUUUUUUUUUUUUUAAAAAGGUUGGCGGGUGUUUUUGAGCGAAACACAACAUUGUAGAAGCACAUGAUUUGCAUUGGAUCCAUGUGAGUUGGUUCUUCGGCUAUUUUUGUUCUAGCAUCUUGUUUUUGUCUUUUAUUGAAUCUUGAAUUCCAAUGUUUAAACAAAAAUAGACAACAAAUUAGAAUUACCAAUGAUAUCAUGUUAAUAAAUUUUAUUACGACAACUUUUGAAACAUAAAAUUUCUAUUCGUUUUUUUUUUUUUUUAAAGUAAUCUACAGAUAUGAAAAGAGAUUAUAAUAGAGAUGGAUCCAUGCUUUGAACUAAGGUAUCCAUGAUUGAAAAAUAAAAAAAUUCGAUUUUUUUUUCUUAAACACUUAAAAAUUUUCUAUGGACACCUAAAAAAUGUUUUAUGGACAUUAUUUUCUUUGACAAAAUUAAUAAAUUUAUCAAUAAUUUUAUAUAUUAUAAACAAAUAUUUUUGAAAAAAAAUCAUGAAUUCAUCUAUGAAUUAUAGGUAUUAAAAUUUAAUAUUUAGAUAUGUUAAAUGUUACUUUUUAAAAAAGAUUGUAUAAAUCAAAAAAACUAAAUUUUGAAUUCAAUAUUUAUUAGAAUUUGAACUAUCCAAAGAAGUUUUCCUAAUCCCACAAGCUUACAUAUAAGUUUUCUCCUAAGCAUAUUCUAUCCAUAUCCAUAUGAUAAAAUAAACUUUACCAUCAUUUCCUAAUACAUUUCAAUGUGAGAUUCUUAAGUUGAAAACUAUAAAGUUUUAAGCAUUAUAUAAGGACAUUUUGAGAACUAUAGAGACUCGAAUUCAAUCUGCGAGAUAUUAUCCAUUUUAAUUUUAAGGUCUCAUUGUUUUGUUUCAUAAAAAGUACCUCACAGAUUUGAAUUUAAAUUUCUCUAUGUAUAUUAUAUCAUAUUCACACAUUACAUUAUUUCAACAUGAAAUUGGAGGUACUAUAAUCUCCCUACUUUUAAAAUUUAAUGUCCAUGUUAAAUCGAAUUUAACAACAAAAUUAAGAUCACACCAAACGUUAAGAUUCUAAAUGUGGUUUCUCAUUGUGUGACACUUAGUAACUCUCACGGCUCUAUCGUAUAGCACUUAGUGACUCCCAUUAUGUAGCACUUAAUUUUCGUUGACUGGUGACCACUUUGAUAUCAUCUAUGAAUACACAUACCCAACCUACGAGAUACUGUCUAUUUUGAUUCGAAGGUUUUACGGUUUUGUUUCACAAAAAAACGUUUUAUAAAUUUAGGUUUAGAUCUCUACAUAUAUAUCAUAUCACAUCCACACAUUCUUUCAAUAUGAGAUUGAGAGCGUUAUAAUAAUUUAUGUAAAAUAUCAAUGAUUUAGAAACUUAAGAUGUUAAGGUUAUAUUUGGUGUAUAAGAUAAUUGAUAAAAUAAAAUGGUAAUCAUUUUAUAUUAUAUUUGAUUUGUAUAUAAAGAAAAUGAUAGAAUUAGAAGGAAUAUUAUUAUUCUAUUGGUAUAAGAUUAUUUAAUAAUUUCAAACUGGAGAGAAUUAUUUUUAAUUUAUGAAAUUAGAUUUACAUAUUCUAUGAUAUUAUUAAAAAUUAUAUCAAUAAUUUAAAUUAUAUAAAUUUUAAAAAAAUAUUUUUGAUUAAUAGAUAAAUUAUCUUAUCAUAAUCUCUUAUACACAUCAAAUAUAAAAUAAAAUAAUAUUAUUUAAUUUUAUUUUAUUUAUAAUAUUAUUUUAUCUUAUCUUAUCAUAAUCUUCUAUUCUAAACAUAACAUAAAUGCUUAAGUUGGCCCUUUUUUUAAUAUAUAUAUUUUUUAAUUUGUGAUAUUCAAUACCCAACAAUUCCAACUCCAUCUAACAAAUGUGAUGAUUAAAGUUACGAUAAGCCUUUUUAUUUAGUUCCCAAUUUGUUACUAUUUUUUCCCAAAAAUCAACAUCGGUAAUACUACAAAAUUGAUUAUUCAAUUGAACUUAAAAUUUAUUUUAAUUGAUUUAUAUAAUUAUGUUUUAAAAAAUAUUAUCUAAUAAAUUUAAAAUUUAAAUUUAAAUACCUAUAAUUUUUUAAUUUAUUUUUAGAUUAUAACCUUAUUUGUGUCAAAUUUUAAUAUUCAAUUUGAAUCAUCAGUUUUAAUAUAUAGCGUACAUUUAGUUAGGAUUAUGCAAUAAAAAAUAUAAAAUUAAUCUUAACAACAUAAAAAUAAAGUUGAUCAUGAUAAUUUAUAAAUUUGGUGAUUCGUAUAUUUAUGUUAAAUAAAAUAUUAAAAUUUUUUAUAUUCAUAUUAUGUUUUACAUAAAAAUUACAUGUUAUAAUUAAUAUUAAUUCUAAAAUAUAAAAUAUAAUUUUUUUAUUUUAUUAAACAUAUAUAAAAUUAUUAUUAUAAUUUUAAGUCCUGUCACUUUUAUAUUUUAUUUUUAUAUCAUAUUUAUAUAUAUUAUAUUUUAAAUUAUUAAAUUUAUAAUUUAAUCCAUAAAAAAUGUACUUUUUUUAUUCUUAAGCUAAGAUUUCGACAAACUGAUAUCUCAAAGUUACUUAAAAUAGGUCAAAAUUAGAAAAUGAUACACCAAUGUCAAUUCUUGAUUAUGAUAAAAUUGUUUAUAUGUUCGGAAAAUGCAGAGUAUACUAGUAAAUAUGAUUUGAUUAGUGAUACGCAAAUUUGACCACCUGAUGAAGAGUGGACGAUGAUGAUAUCAUUGAAAAUUGAUUUGGAAAGUGGGACCCAACAAAAUGGGACAAAAAAGUUCUAAUUUAGUAUAGUGUGAGUGAAGUGGAUGGUAAUUCUGUCACCUAACAAGUCUUUAUGAUGUAAACUGAUAAAAGCUAUGGAAAAGCUCAUGACCUUGUCUCAACUUUUUCUUACUGUCUUAAUCCAAAGUAGUUUGAACAAUUCCACGCGCUCUCUCAGCGAGUGAAAAUAUGCAAACUUUGUUAUAACUAAAAACUAUAUUUGUAUAUUUAUCUCAAAUAUAUAUAGAAUAUAAAUAUUAUUAUAUUAAAAUUUAUGUAGUUAAUUGGUAAAAAUUUAUGUUACGAAUAAUUUUUAAAUUAUAAUAAAAUAUUUAAUAUAAUAUUUAAAUUUUAAAAAAUUUUGAUGUGAUAUUUAAAAUAUAAAUUUAUUAAUUAUAUUCACCCUUAUCACAAUUAAUUUUAAAUGAUAAUAUAUGAUAAAUAUUACUUAAGUUAAUAAAUUUAUUAUUCGAGUAUCAUAUUAAAAAUUUUUAAAAUUUAAAUAUUAUAUUAAUUAUUUUAUUAUAAUUAAAAAAUUAUUCAUGAUAUUAAUUUUUUAAAAUUGAUUGUACAUGAAAAUAUAUAAUUUUUUAUCAUCUAUUUGCAUUCAAUUAUAUAUACCAAUAUUACAUCCAUUGCAAAAAAUUUUAAUAAAUGAAAAAGAAAAAAUGUUGCUUGAUGUUUUUAUCUUUAGGUUUUUUAAAUGAUUUAUUAUUUUAAGAGUUAUUUUAUUUUCUUGGUUUGAAAUUUUUUAGUAUUUGAUAAUCAUUUUAAGUCUUGAUUAAUUCAAAAUCAAAUUAGAUUGAACUCUAUAAAGAAAGCAAGCUCUCUCAAUUUUUUUUAUUUAUAAGAUUCGAAAUCGAAAUCUUACUUAAGAGAAAUCGAAUUCCUUACUACUCGAAUCAAUAAGCAUUGAUAAAAUUAUUUUAUUUUUUUUAUUUAUAUAAAAGUUUUAGGUAAACAUUUAAAAUUUAAAAAUUUAUUGCUUUUUUUAUCAUUAAUUACUUAAUUCAAUGACAACCUUUUAAGCAUUCAUUAGGAUACCGAAAUAUUAAAAAUAUUACUAUUUUCUUUUCACAACUAAUUAUUAAUUUAUAUCAUUCAUUUAAAACAAUCAUAAAAUCCAAAAAGCAGAUCAUUAUUAGAUAGAAAAAGAAAAGAAGUAAAAAGUUAUCAUUGCUUUUGGUUUGCUUCUUACCCUAAAAAAAAUUAUUCCCUCAAUAAUAAAUAAAAUAAAAUAAAAAAGGUUGCAAGUGUUUAAUAAUAUCGGUUAAAGUGGCAUUUAAGAAAAAAAAUAUAAUUAAUGCAGUAGCUUUUAAAUUUCAAUAAUAGAUAAUGUAUUAAAUAUAAAUAUUUUUUUGAUAAAAAAAUUUAAAAAUAGAUAAAUUAUUUAGUUUUUUAAAUUAAAAUAAGAUAUAUCAUAUCUAAUAAUUUAAGAUAGAUAUUACAAAUCAUAUAUUUAAUAUGAUCUUAAUAUGUAUAUAUCUUAUUUAACAACUUAAAAUAAAUGAUUACAGAUCGUAUAUUUGAUAUGAUCUCAAUAAAUGAUUAUCAAUAAAAUUUAAAUUUAAUAUUUUUUAUUAAAAAAAAUAAAUUUUAAUUGAUUGAAUCAAUUAUUUGAUAAAUAUAAAUAUUUUUUAAAUAAUAUUUGAAGUAUCUCCGACCAAAAUUUAUAAAUAAAAAUUGCCCAUUAAUAAGGUUCUGCAUGAUCAGAAACUCUUCCAUUUAUAAAGCGCGUGGGAUAAUCAAACACAUGAAGAAUGUCUUUUUUCACAUUGUUUUUCACAAACCCUAAAUCCAAUAUUAAAUACACACCGUUAAAUAUUAUUAUCAAUAAAUUAUUGCCUCCCACCCCCACCCCAAAUAUCAUUAAUUUCACACAACCUAAAAAAUUCUCUAUGAAAAAAAGAAAAAAACCUCUCAAAAUACCAAAAAUUUUUUUUUUCUUGUUUUGCCUCUUUAGAUCCAUUCUCUUUCUCUUCCCAUUUUGACCGUCAAAACCUAGAUCACCUAAUCCUCUCUAGGGUUGUCAGAGUUGCAGACUUUUUUUUUUACUGCAAAGGAACAAGCUUUUCCUUAUACUUGAAAAAACAAAAGAAGAUUUUCAGUGGUUUUUUUUUUUUCGUUUUUGAAGCUUUUAGGUUGUUUAAAAUUGUGGGUCUUGAAUAAUUAGAUUGGAUAAGUAGAGUAGAAGAAAAUUUGAGUGUAUAAAGAACUAUCAUUUUCAAGGGUGGUAUUGAAUUUGAAUUAGUUUGCUUAUCUUGGAAGGUUGCUUUUGGAAGUGAUUCUUUUUUAGUUUUUGUAAAGGUUGUAGUUUUGUUGAGUUUUCAGGAGCAAUGGGCCCUUACAUAUGUUCAUUUCGCUUAAAUGUUGUUGAAGAAAUGGGAUCUUGAAUAGAUUGGUUAAUUGCAUUGAAUAUUUGGUUUUUAGUAAAGUCUGUAGCUUUAUUGUGUGUGAGUGUGUGUGUUUUUUUAUUUUUUUUAAGAAAAAUGGGUUCUUGGUUAUACGACUGGUGAAGAAAUGGGAUUUUUUAUUAUGUUUGAAUUUGGAUGGAAUAUUGGGAUUUUAGUUUUUAGUUGAGUUUUUAAGCUUUUUGAGUGUGAUGGGAAUGGAUGAGGAGGAUAAUGUUGGAAAAAUAGAAUUUCUGAAGGAACGAAGGGUAGUUAGUCUCUUUAGAAGAACUUAAGAAGGUUUUGUUGAGGGGUAGUUUUGGUGUAUGAUGGGUUGCAUUUGUUGUAAGCCUUCUGCUAUUGAAGAUAGUAAAGAUAGUCCUAGAGAGAGGCCUUCGAUUAAAGCCUCAUCAGAUGUGAGGGUAUCAAGGGCUACUUCUUCGAGGAGGGAGGAAGCAUAUAGAGCAAAGGAUCGGUAUGAUAAAAAUGAAGGGAGGAUAAUGUUGAUCGAUAAACAAGUGAAUGGUUCGGUUCAGUUGCAUGAUGAGAAUUUGGAUAGGAAGAGGGAGAAGAUGGAGUAUGUUGUUAGUCAACAACCAGGGAUGGGUAGUGUUCCGAAAGCUGCGGAAGGAGAGCAGGUGGCUGCAGGAUGGCCUGCUUGGUUAGCUGCAGUAGCAGGAGAAGCAAUCAGGGGAUGGGUACCACGGCGUGCAGACUCAUUUGAGAAGCUGGAUAAAGUAAUUAUGCUUGUACUUAAUUUAGUUCUUUGGUUACAAUGUUGCUUGUAUAUGCUUGAUCCUCAUGUUGCCGAUAGCAUUUGUAAUUUCUUUAUUUGACUUAUCUGUUCAUUUUUAGUAGUUCCCUGUUGGUUUCUGGAUUGAUCGUUGGGAUUCACCUUUGUGCUACUAUAUUGGAAUCUUAGUUCCUUGUAAUCCAUUUCGACAUCUGUUAACAAUUCUAAAAUAUGAUGUCAUAAUUCAUAAUUCCUAAGCCACUAGCCAAUAGUUUUAGUAGUUUACAUUACAAAGUUAUCUUCAUUCUCAGGUAUGACAAUGCUAUACUGGGACCUCUGUCGUUGGGUCUCUAUUCUUGGACACAAAAGUUUCUCCACCUUGUCGAGUAUUAAUGCAGUGGUUUGAUUGUAAAGUGUAUCCAUCUUGACUUUUCUAUUUGUUUUCUACCUUAAAUGACCCCGAACCAUGCUCAUCUAGCCCUAAAUCUAUCUCAAUAAAAUCAAAACAGUACCAAAUUACAGUUAAAAAGGAAAAUUCUCUCUAAAUCCAGUGACAUACCUUUAUUCAACAUUAUGGCAUCUUAACAUUUUAUUUUAUUUAUCCUCCAAUCUCCUGCCUUGUUCCUUUGGUCCUUCACUCUCCUGCCCUGUUCGUUUUGGCCUUCAAUCACCAUACUUUUACUGACUUCUAGAUGUCUAAUUGUGAUAGAAAUUUAAGAGGGUAGACUUUUAGAAUUCAAUAUGUUUUGUUGAUUCUAUACUACCGGGGUUUAAUGUGGUUUCUCUUAUAUUAUAACCCAUCACUAUGCUUUAAAUUGACAGUUUCUUGCAGCUAGUAAUCACAUCUGUUACCUGAACUUAUAUUUCUGUGCAGAUUGGCCAGGGAACUUAUAGUAAUGUCUAUAGGGCUCGUGACAUAGAUCAGAAAAAAGUUGUUGCUCUGAAGAAAGUAAGAUUUGAUAACCUUGAGCCAGAGAGUGUUCGAUUUAUGGCAAGGGAAAUUCACAUUCUACGUAGACUUGAUCAUCCGAAUGUUAUAAAGCUGGAAGGUCUGGUUACCUCAAGGAUGUCUUGCAGCUUGUACCUUGUGUUUGAGUACAUGGAGCAUGAUUUGGCUGGUCUGGCUUCUCACCCUGGUCUGAAGUUUUCAGAAUCGCAGGUGCUCCUGAUUGUUUUGCCUUUUUCUUUUUUUUCUUAGCUGCAAUUUAAUCUUUCCAAAGUUUACUUGUUAGUGAGUAGUAGUCCAGAAUGGUGUUUACCAUAAAAGGUCUUCCAAACAUGGGAAUUACAUGAUGUUUCAUUUUUUAAAAAUUGCGAUCUUAAUAAGUAAAAAAAAUUCUGCAAAAACAGAAAUUUAUGUUUUGCAUUGAAGGGCUAUCCUGAAUUUAUUGCACUUUUCGGCAGGUUAAGUGCUACAUGCAGCAACUUUUGUGUGGUCUUGACCAUUGUCACAGCCGUGGUGUCCUACAUCGUGACAUAAAGGGUUCCAACCUUCUAAUUGACAAUAAUGGCAUCUUGAAGAUUGCUGACUUUGGCCUGGCUAGUUUUUAUGAUCCCCAUCAAAGUCAGCCCUUGACAAGCCGUGUUGUAACUCUUUGGUAUAGACCACCGGAGCUUUUACUUGGAGCCACUUACUAUGGUACUGCUGUAGAUUUAUGGAGUACUGGUUGCAUACUUGCUGAGUUAUAUGCUGGCAAGCCUAUUAUGCCUGGAAGAACUGAGGUGUGCUUUUUUUUUUUUUAAUCAAAUGAAAGGUCUCCUGCUAAGCAUUUAGAGUUCUAAGCAGAAACUUUAUUGUGUAAUGCGAGAUGCAUAACAUUAUUUUAUUGACAUAAUUGUAAUAUGUGGUUGUUAGAGCUUCAAAUUGUAUAUCUGUCUAGCAUUUAUCAUACAAAUGAAACUAAUUUUACCGAGGUACCGAUUGAGGCCAAAACAUCUGUCCCCCAAUUGGGGUUUUUCACGAAGAUUUAGGCUUAAAUCAGCCCAAAGCAAGCUGUUGCUAUUUAAAUAGGCAAGAGUGUUCAGUGAGUAUAGACUCUAUUAUCUUGAAAGCUAACUUAAUUGAGCUGACUUGUAUGUUUGAAAUUUAUUUUGGGAUCUUUUUGGGCAGGUCCAGGGUCAAUGAUGGGAUAGCCAAAAGCAAAUUGUUGGAAUAUGCAAAAAUCUUUGGUGAAAUAUAACAUCUGAAUGAAAUCUUGAGGGGCAUGGUGAAGUAUGUGUGUGUGUGUGUGAGAGGGAGAAGACUAUUGCAGAAAGUGCAAUUGAUAUGCGAUACUUAAUAGCGGAGGAACACUUUUUCCACUACCUUUUUUUACAUUCUGACUGCUGACCAGAAGAGUGUGCUUAAUAGUGAGAGGACUUUUUAAUUUGCUUUUAGAUCUGUCACCAGCACCACUGGUUAAAAGUUCUCAGAGAUUUCUUGAUUGGUUCAAAAAUUUAUGUUGGUCCCUCAAAGUGCCAAACUACUGCAUAUCUAAUCCAAUUGUGCUACUAAUGGGAUUAUUAGGGAGUUGAGGGUUCUUAUAGGUGUAGUUUGUUUGACAUGUCCCUAAAAUAGCGUGUUUCUAAGCUGGGAAGCUGGUUUUGGAGAUAGCUUUGAUGUGGUAUUGACUUUUAUUUUUUAGGCAGACCCUUUAUUUAUACUUCUUAGCACUUUAAUUCCUUUUACUGUUUUUCGAGAUUUUGUUUUGUUUUAAUUCUUUUGAAGGUGCCUCUGAUCUAAUUGCUCAUGAGAAUUGAUUUCAAUGAGAGAUAUAAUGUAACAUAUGAUAGAAUGCACUGAAGUGAUUUUUUAAGCAGCUGUAUUUGUUAAUACACUAUGUGUUAUAUGCGCUUCUCUCUUCCUGUAAUACUAAUAACUUUUAUGCAUAUUUGUUCCAAUAAAUUUGACUGGUGGUAUACCCUGCCUGUAUGACCAUCAGACCAUUAAAAUACUGUUAAUGUGAACUUUGAAAGCAAGACCCAGUUGAUGGUUGUUGGAUCUCAACUUUAGCAUUAUCUCAUUUUUAAUUUGGAAUUUGUUUGUGGCUACCUGAGAUAGUUAUUAAGUUAUAUUGAAUUAUGCUUCUUAUAUUAAGUUAUCUUGAAUUAUGCUUCGUCUAUUAAGUUAUCUUGAAUUAUGCUUUGUCUCCUUUGUCUUGUUUGUGGCAAUCUGACAUGGUUUGGUGACACUGUCAAAAUAGAAAGGUUUGGUUGUGAAAUUAAAUGAUUGAGGUCUGUGUCUUUCUGCUUUGUAGGUGGAACAGUUGCAUAAAAUUUUCAAACUUUGUGGCUCACCUUCUGAAGACUAUUGGAGAAAAUCGAAGUUGCCUCAUGCAACCAUUUUUAAGCCCCAACAGCCUUAUAGAGGCUGUGUUGCAGAAACAUUUAAGGAAUUCCCUGCACCAGCUUUAGCACUUAUGGAGACCUUACUUUCCAUUAACCCUGCUGAUCGUGGAUCUGCAGCGUCUGCUCUCAAUAGUGAGGUAUGAUGUUUUUAAGAAAUUAUGUUUUAUUAAAAUUUUAGGCUAUUAUAAUCCAUGCAUGUCUGCAAGCAUGUCUAUUCUUUCUAUAUCCUUCAGAGGGGUGGUGCCCCUGGGUGAAUGUUGGUAAUGAAGGUUUUUUUUUUUUUUUUUGCAAAAUAACUUGGUUAUUUUAGCAAGAUGACAUGAAACCAAUGCUUAUAUUUAGCUCUUUUGCUUUUUCAAUUAUAUUCUUUUUUAGGAAUUUUGUCAUUGUUGCUAAAAGUAUUUUAAGGGAACAUGAGUUUCAUUCAGAGGGGACACAUUCUAGUAUCUAAAGACUAGUUGCAGAUAUAAUUUGUAUGACAAUUGGAUAGAACUUUGUUCUAGUAUAUUUCAUUCAUUCAGGAUAAAUUCCAAUGGUAUUUAUCAGCAUUAUUGCUGUGUGUUUAGCAGUCUGUUGUCAUGGUUAAGCAUCAUGUACUAACAUGAGCCUCCAUGUCUGGCUGUUAGAUUGUGUUUGGUAUGGGGUUAUCUUUCCAAAAACCAUGGUGAUCUGUACAUGGUGAUUAAAUCAUCAUAUUUGGUAAACACUUGGGGAUUCUACGUGGCAGUGAUCUUGGAUAUCAUUGAGAGUGAUUAGAUCACUAUCUUGAAGGAUAAUCUAAUUCCCAUCCAAAAAGGUGGGAAACUUUUAUCACCGAGGUAAAUUGAUUUAUAAAAUUAGUAAUAGUCAAUAUUUCCCAUUUAAUAUGUGAAUUAAAAAUUUGAUUCCUCUUAAAAUUUUAAUUAUUUUAUAUUAUAAAAUUUUAUUUUCAAACUAAUAUUCAUUAAUAACAAGUUCAAAAAUAAUUUGUAUAUUUUUUUACUUCUUCUAGUGUUUUAUAUAUAAUAUAAUGUCUUUAUUUUUUUAUUAUGAUUUUAAUAGAUUAGUUUUAUUUUCUAAUUCAAUGUAUUUUUACAUAAUUUAUAGUUAAAAAUUAGUUUACUUAAUAAAUAAAUAUAUUUAAUAAGUUAAUUAUAUUUAUUAUAAAAUAAAUAAAAUAUUGCUAUGUUUUAUGAAUUAUUAUUUUUAAACAACAUUUAAAUUAUUAACUUGUGUAAUUAUUAUAACAAGAAUGUUAUUCUUAUACUUUUAAAUAAAAUAAUAUUUGAUUUUUAGUAAUAUCAAACACAGUGAUCUUUAGUUCGUAUUAAUUAGUAAUUGUUAACCAAACAAAUUGAUUUCAUGUCACGAGUGAUAAGAUCACCUUGGUGAUUACAUUACCAUGGUAAUGUUGAAAAUGAUACCAAACGCUACCUUAAAGAGUUUGUGCCAAAGUUUAAAUAUGAAACUUGAAUGCCAAAACUCUUGGCUUGUGUUCAAUCCCGUGGUAUCUUGGGGUGCUAGAACAGCAGGGCUUUAUUCCCAUCUCAUAUAAGCCACUAUGACUUCAGAAUUAGUAUGCUGUAUGCAAUUUUCUAAAUUGUAGGAUGUACUUCUUUUAGUCUUAAAUCAUUUCAUUAUACUUUUCUGUUGUAAUUAUUUAUCAAUAUUGUCUAGUGUCCUUGACAUAUUUUUAUGUGUUUUACAGUUCUUUACAACUAAACCUCUUCCCUGUGAUCCAUCAAGCUUGCCAAAGUAUCCUCCAAGCAAAGAGUUUGAUGCAAAAAUAAGGGAUGACGAAGCUCGAAGGUGCAUAUUGUAUAUUUAAUCACAAUCAAAUAUUAAUCUUCUUAUAGUUUGUUUUUUGGGGGUACUUAUACUAAAUGAAAAAUCUCAUGCUUCUUAAGGAAUAUCUUCUUUGGACUCUUCGGAUACUUGUGAGGGAUUUACUUCCAAAGUAAAUUAAUUGCUUCAAAAGGAUCAUCCAAAAACUUGUAAUUUCAUGUCAGUCCAGCAAUCAAGCUAUUUGAUCUCUUUGGUCUUCAGCCUAUGCUGGACUGCUGUAAACGUAGCGUUUGCUUUUACUAGAUGAGCUAUUAUCAUCUUCUUUUUAUGUUCUGCCACUGCUUCCAUAAUGGCUUGAAAUCUUGAGUGGUUGGUAUAGGUGCUAAUAAACUAUGUUUGUUUGUAUUGGCAGACAAGGAGGAGCAGGAACCAAAGGCCAGAGACCUGAUCUUGACAGGAGAGCAACAAGAGAGUCUCGAGCCAUCCCUGCGCCUGAUGCUAACGCUGAACUAGCAUUGUCAAUGCAGGUAACUUAUGAUUUGGUUAAUAAUUUCCCAUUUCAUUUCUUUUUGCUGUACAUGUUUGGUGAUGGGCAUCCUUAACUAGCGAAUGCAUCAUGAUAUUGGUUUGUUGACGAAUGUCACAACCUGCUAUAUCAUUAAGGUUAAUGAGAUACAAAAACAGAAAAUUAAGCUUUCUUCGCUACAUAGGAUUGGUUUUUAAGCUUAAUGAUAUGGUAUUGUAGUUUGUUUUUAAUUUUUUUCUUCUUCGAUCAAUGGCAGGCUGUUAUAAACUUAUAAUAAACAAAUUGAACCCUGAAUCGUACCAAAAAAACUGAACCCUGAAAGGAAUUGAAGAUGACAAUAACAUAGGAAGCAGAAUCUAACAUCUGAUUCUAAAAAAAUCAUGAGUAAAAUCAAGGUGGGAGGGGGGGGAGGAAAUGAUAGCUAACUACUUGUAGGAACCUCAGUGAUUGAAGUCAAAGAUGAAUUCCUUGUUCUCUUCUCAAUUUGAAGGACUGCUAAUGCUGCAGUAAUGACCAAUCGAGCUGAUGCUUUGCCAUAUAAUGCAAUUAAUAUUGUUUGUCUUCUUUUUUUUUUUAUCAUUUUUUCCUCUUUUAGAACAGUUACAUUAAUUUGACAUUACUAACGUUGCUUUCACAUUCCAGAAAAGGCAAGGUCAAUCCAAUUCAAAGAGCCGGAGUGAGAAGUUUAAUCCUCAUCCUGAAGAAGUUGCCUCAGGCUUUCCUAUAGAUCCACCUAGGCCAUCGCAGGGAGUAGAAUCAAAUGCAGAUGUACAGGGGAAUCAUCACAAGCGAGCGUCCCAUUCAGGGCCACUGGCUCACCGAGCUGCAUGGGCAAAGUCUGCGAAAAACCUGGAUGAUGCUCCAAAACUUUCUACUGGGGCUGACUUGUCAAUGAUGUCAAGUUUAGUGGCAGCAAGGAGAAGUAAUCUUAUAUCUGAAGAUCUCAGAGAAAGAUCUGGUUCUUCACAAUCAGAAGCUCCAAGAAUGACUGCAAGAUUUCCGGGGUCAAUUAAGGAGGCCUCAGAAUCCUUCAUCCAACAGGAUCCGAAACAUAAUGUGCAGCAGAAAGAAGAUGGAAGAAGUAGCAACCAAGAUCCUGUUCUGGUAAGUAUUGAACCUGUUUUUUUCUGCCUUGAUGAUUGGUUGUCCUGAUCAAACUUUGUGCAGAGGAAGGCGUCAUUGUAUUAAACUGGGGUAUUUGUGAUAAUUUGUUGAUUCUUCUAUUUUGUUUUUCUCUGGUUUUUUCCAGUUUAACAUGCUUUUAGGUUUUUGGUUGCCUGCUAUUAACCUUUAUCCAUUUCAAGUAUCUGAUACAUGCUUCUCAAUGAUGGUUUCCAGCUUGGUUAUGGGUCAAAGGGGCACAAAAUUCACUAUUCUGGUCCCUUAAUAGUUCCAUCAGGCAACAUGGAUCAAAUUCUUAAGGAUCAUGAUCGCCAAAUCCAAGAAGCUGUUCGGCGAGCACGCCUUGAUAAGGCAAAGAUAAGAAAAGUUCAGUUAGAAGGGAACCAAAUAUCAACCAAUUCAUUUUUUGUUUCCGGUCGUUGAGCUAAAUUUUGUGAACAGCAAAUCAAGAUGAGCAUUAUCAAGACUCAAGAUGAUCACUGCAAAUAAUUUGGCUGCUGAUUCUCUUGCUAAAUAUGAUCCAGAGUUGUUGGGUGGAUUUUUUUUUUUUUUUUGUAUAGAUUGGUGUUUUUAGGAAUAUGGCUAGUGGGCAUAUUUGGCUUAGCUUAUAGCUUAUUGAGAAAUCUCUGUGUGAUUAAUCAUGUGUAUUUCUUUCCACUCGGCAACUGUAAUUUGCUAAGAUAUGACCCAUUCUUGUAGACCUUAUUAUUAGCCAUAAGUUAAAAGCAGAGAGAUCUGAGAUUAUUUAAUGUGAUGAAUGAAGCAAAAUCUAGCAUGUUUAUCAUUGCCCCUUGACAAGUAAAUAGCAUUAAUGUUAACCGAAGAAGAAAUUUUGCUUCAAGAGUAACUAGAAGCUUAAAUCGGUUUAUAGUCAAAUUUUAAAAGAUGAUAUUUGAUCUGUUUCUUUUUAUUUAUUUAUUUUCAAGCUACGAUUUCUUUUGAAAAGAAAAAAAACCAAGAAUGGACUGAUAUUUGUACCACAUGCGAACUCUUGUCAGCAGCCAUGUAUUAAGCAUGAUAACGUUCAAGCUCCAUUGUCUAUGUAUUUAUAUGUGUAUAUUUCAUAUGAUAUGAUAAUUCACGGUAGUCAAACUUGAAUGCAGUUCCUGCUUCCCCUUGAUAGAAAAUUAUGUACUUUUAUUUUUGUGUUCUAAAAUCGUCAAGUCUUUAGCAGCAUUGAAAAUGAAUUGUUCAUGCAGUUGAAUUCUAAGCUGUGGUUCGUGGCUAAGGCAUAUUGUUGGAGAGCUGCUUUCUCAUCAAGAUUGUCUUUUGGCCUCCUCCGCCUACCGGUUUUGACCAUCCAUUCCUUUGAACUCCCCAUUGAACAGUUUCCCUAGCAACCAUGUGCUUGGCAUUGACUUUGUAUUGUCAAAGAUCAACAAUCUGUCAGUUCUUUCAUUUCCUACAAUGCUGGACACUGGUUUGAUUUGAAGUAGAUAAAAAAAAAAUCACUUGACUGGUUGGUUUUUUCCAUUACUUGAAGUUGCAUGGAUGGAACAAAGUCAUCAACAACUCUAAAAGUAUAUGAAUUGUGGACACUCAGCUUACUGUCGCAAUGGUUCCUUCAGACAUGAAGAAGCCUAAAAGGGCUAAACUGAUGAACUGUAUCAGCCACCACUGCCCCAUUUGCUGCAAAUCAUCCAUGGCUUAUUUGGUUCAUUAAUUUCCUAUCAUAAUCCUAGGUCAUCAUCAUGUGCCCAUCUAUGUGAUUUUCAAGACAGCCAUAAUGGUCACAUGUCCAGGGUCAAAAUGCUAAAAUGAUAGUUCACCAUUUAUGUUGCUUCAGCAUCAAGGACCAUUGAAUCUACUUUCAUCAUAUACCUUGCAUCAAAAUCAUUUGUGAAUCUUGUAAAGUCUUAAAGAAAAAUAUGCUGGAUCCUGACUUAAGCAAAGAAAUUGCAUGAUUUUGAUUGAAUAAGAAGCUUUGAAUAUGUAAAAAAUCUAAACAUUAGAGCCUAAUUUAAGGAAAAAUUAUUAUAUAUAUCUAAGAAAAUCUUAAAUGCAACUUAACCACAUCAUUCAUACAUGUUAUACAUCAAAAACAUGACAUCUUUGGUUAAAAUAAUUGUUUCCAUUUCUUAGGGCUAGUCAAGAUUAUUUAAAAAUGUGACAAUUUUUUACUUAAUUCUUUGGUUUUUACUAUGAGCUACUUCGUCAAAAUAGCUACUUGUAUGGUAGCAUUUAAAACCUAUAUUGCUUUGAGAAAGUCAAAAGAAAAGAAAAGAAAAGAUGAUCUCUAAUCUCUUCCUCUACGUGACAAAAGUAGUAAGUGAUUUUUGGCAAUUUGAGUACAGGAUCUUCAAAUAUUAACUCGUGUGCUCAAUCUAUUAAUAAUUACCAAAAAAAUUUUUAGUUUAAGAGUGAUGAAGAAUUCCAGACGAAUUUUUGCCAAGCCAUGGCGGGUUUUCUAUCCCUGAUCAAUCCCAUAUAUUUGAAAUUAUGAAUUUGUCAAACUUUCAUGCUUAAUAAAUUAAGAGUAUAAUCGAUUGAAUUCAAAUCGAUAUAAUAAUAUUAAAUUUGAACUCGAUUUUAACUUUAAAUUUGAAAUUUAAAAUUUAAUUUUAGAUCAAUUUUUUUUUUAAAUUCAAACUCAAUUCAAGAUAAAAUUUGAAUUACUUAAACUCGUUUGAUUAUAUUUAAUUAACAUAUAAAAAUAAGUUUGAUUUUAUAUUUGAUAAAAAUUUAAUUAUUUAUAUUCAAAUUUAAAAUAUUUUAUUAAUUAAAAUAAUUAAAAUAUAAAAAUUUGAUUAAACUCAUAAAUAACUUAAACUAAAUAUAAAAAUAUUUAAAUACGAUUCGAUAUAAUUAAAUCAAAUUUAAAUUUUAUUUAAAUUAAAUCAAAUAAUUUAUAAAUAUUAAUAUAUAAUUAACACCCUUACACCAAGUAACAAUAACAUCCUAACGGUGAGGCCAGCCACCCUUGCUACUUUAGGGUUGUUUGUGUACACAAUAUUUUAUGUACCUAGAACUACC
rnacentral:lncRNA from 1 species